UACGUAGGGUGCGAGCGUUAAUCGGAAUUACUGGGCGUAAAGCGUGCGCAGGCGGUUUUGUAAGCCAGAUGUGAAAUCCCCGGGCUUAACCUGGGAACUGCAUUUGGGACUGCAAGGCUAGAGUACGGCAGAGGGGGGUAGAAUUCCUGGUGUAGCAGUGAAAUGCGUAGAUAUCAGGAGGAAUACCGAUGGCGAAGGCAGCCCCCUGGGUUGAUACUGACGCUCAUGCACGAAAGCGUGGGGAGCAAACAGGAUUAGAUACCCUGGUAGUCCACGCCCUAAACGAUGUCAACUAGUUGUUGGAGGCCUUACCGCCUUUAGUAACGCAGCUAACGCGUGAAGUUGACCGCCUGGGGAGUACGGUCGCAAGAUUA
rnacentral:rRNA from 1 species